rnacentral:tRNA from 1 species
GCCCGAUUAGCUCAGCGGUAGAGCGCCUGCCUUACAAGCAGGAUGUCGCUGGUUCGAAACCGGCAUCGGGCAUCA